AUGGGAAGGAAAUGGCACGCCGUCGCGGCACUGGGCAUGGCGUACGCUGUCGCCGCCGCCGUCGCGGAUGGCGACAAGGGCCUCUCCUUCGCCGGCACCGUUGCAGGGCCGGAGGAAGCGAGCUCCCCGCGCAAGCUGGCCAGCUUGUACGGAACCACUUAUCACCACGUCUGGCCGCCCAUGAAAUUUGGAUGGCGAAUUGUGUUAGGAUCAUUCAUUGGAUUCUUCGGGGCAGCAUUUGGCAGCGUUGGUGGAGUAGGCGGAGGCGGGAUCUUUGUUCCAAUGCUAACGUUGAUCAUUGGCUUUGAUCCGAAGUCAUCAGCAGCCAUGUCAAAAUGUAUGAUCACGGGAGCUGCUGUUUCAACCGUGUAUUGCAAUCUCAAGCUGAAACACCCAACUUUGGACAUGCCAAUGAUAGACUAUGAUCUAGCCCUCCUGAUACAGCCCAUGCUCAUGAUGGGGGUUAGCAUUGGGGUUAUCUGCAAUGUGAUAUUCCCCGAGUGGCUUGUCACAAUCCUCUUGAUCAUCCUCUUUCUAGUUACUGCGAUUAAAGCUUUUCUGAAGGGUGUUGAAGCAUGGAAGAAAGAGACAAUGAUAAGAAGGGAGGCAAAGGCAAAACAACUAGAGAAAUCUAAUGAAGAUACUAGAUAUACGCCACCGCCUAUAGGACCCGAUCCUGCAGCUGAGACAAAAAAACCAACAGAUGAAGCGGUAUCCAUUUGGAAGAACAUUUACUGGAAGGAGUUUGGCCUUCUGGCCUCCGUUUGGGUAGCAUUCCUUACACUUCAAGUCACCAAGAACUACGUGGCAACUUGUUCCACAUGGUACUGGGUUUUGACCGUACUCCAGAUCCCGGUGUCAGUUGGAGUGUCCAUGUACCAGGCAGCAAGUUUGGUGCAGGGGAAGAGGGCGCUAUCAUCAAGAGCAAAUAACCAGACCAGCCCGAAAGCUCAUCAGAUAUUAGUAUACUGCUUCUUUGGUGUCACCGCCGGUGUCCUCGCCGGUCUGCUUGGGGUCGGUGGGGGCGUCGUCAUGGGGCCUCUCUUCCUGGAGCUCGGUAUCCAUCCGCAGGUCUCAAGUGCGACGGCCAGCUUUGCGAUGAUGUUCUCAUCUUCCAUGGCGGCCGUGGAAUACUACCUGCUGAAACGGUUCCCUGUACCAUACGCUCUCUUCUUCACUAGCCUGACAUUUGUUGCCGCGAUUGUUGGCCAGCGGGUCGCAAGGAAGCUGGUCAAUUGGCUAGGGCGGGCAUCAUUUAUCAUCUUCAUAUUGUCCUCCAUGAUCUUCGUCAGCGCGAUUUCUCUAGGUGGAGUCGGCAUCUCCAAGACGACUCACAAGAUGGCGCGGCACGAAUACAUGGGAUUCGGCAACAUUUGCAACUAUCAUGCGUAG
rnacentral:rRNA from 1 species